GGUCAAGUUAUUAAGGGUGCAGGGCGGAUGCCUUGGCACUAGGAGCCGAUGAAGGACGUGAUAAGCUGCGAUAAGCUUCGGGGAGUUGCACGUAAACUUUGAUCCGAAGAUUUCCGAAUGAGGAAACUCACUUAGAGUAAUGUCUAAGUAUCAUUAAGUGAAUACAUAGCUUAAUGAGGGGAACUCAGGGAACUGAAACAUCUAAGUACCUGAAGGAAGAGAAAGAAAUUCGAUUCCGUAAGUAGCGGCGAGCGAACGCGGAUUAGCCCAAACCAAUAAAGUUUUCUUUAUUGGGGUUGCGGACAUAUCAUAACGAAGAGGUAUCGUAAUUGAAGAGGUUUGGAAAGACCCACCACAGAAGGUAAUAGUCCUGUAUGUUAAACGAGAAGACUUCAGAUAUGAUCCAGAGUACCACGGGACACGUGAAACCCUGUGGGAAGCAGGAGGGACCACCCUCCAAGGCUAAAUACUACCUAGUGACCGAUAGCGUAUAGUACCGUGAGGGAAAGGUGAAAAGAACCCCGGGAGGGGAGUGAAAUAGAACCUGAAACCCUGCACUUACAAGCUGUGGAAGCACAUUUCUUGUGUGACCGCGUACUUUUUGUAGAACGGGCCAACGAGUUACGUUAAGUAGCAAGGUUAAGCACUUAAGGUGCGGAGCCGUAGCGAAAGCGAGUUUUAACUGAGCGUUCAGUUACUUGACGUAGACCCGAAACCGGGCGACCUACCCAUGAGCAGGAUGAAGCGAAAGUAAAAUUUCGUGGAGGUCCGAACCCACGAGCGUUGAAAAGCUCGGGGAUGACUUGUGGGUAGCGGUGAAAUUCCAAUCGAGCCCGGAGAUAGCUGGUUCUCCCCGAAAUAGCUUUAGGGCUAGCCUCAAGGUGAGAGAUACGGAGGUAGAGCACUGAAUGUCCUAGGGGGUAUUGCACCUACCGAAGACUAUCAAACUCCGAAUGCCGUCAUCUUAUACUUGGGAGUCAGACUGUGGGUGAUAAGAUUCAUAGUCGAAAGGGCAACAGCCCAGAUCGUCAGCUAAGGUCCCUAAAUGUAAGUUAAGUGGUAAAGGAUGUGGGAUUGCACAGACAACCAGGAUGUUGGCUUAGAAGCAGCCACUCAUUCAAAGAGUGCGUAAUAGCUCACUGGUCGAGUGAUCCUGCGCCGAAGAUUUCCGGGGCUAAAACUUACUACCGAAGCUACGGCAUCAGUAAUGAUGGGUAGGGGAGCUUCCCAUACGGGUUGAAGCAUGACCGUAAGGACAUGUGGACAGUAUGGGAGUGAGAAUGUUGGCAUGAGUAGCGAGAUGUGGGUGAGAAUCCCACAGGCCGUAAACCCAAGGUUUCCAGGGGAAGGUUCGUCCGCCCUGGGUUAGUCGGGACCUAAGCUGAGGCCGAAAGGCGUAGGUGAUGGACAACAGGUUGAUAUUCCUGUACUACCGAUAACCGUUUGAGAGAAGGGAUGACACAGUAGGAUAAGCUAAGCACACUGUUGGUUAUGUGUGCCCAAGCAUUGAGGCAGUCAAAGUAGGCAAAUCCGCUUUGAUAAUGCUGGGAUGUGAUGGGGAGCGAAAUUUAGUAGCGAAGUAGCUGAUUUCACACUGUCAAGAAAAGUCUCUAUCGAGGUUAAAGGUACCCGUACCGCAAACCGACACAGGUGGGUGAGGAGAGUAUCCUAAGGCCAGCGAGAGAACUGUUGUUAAGGAACUCGGCAAAAUGACCCCGUAACUUAGGGAUAAGGGGUGCCACCAUCAGGUGGCCGCAGAGAAUAGGCCCAAGCGACUGUUUACCAAAAACAUAGGUUUCUGCUAAGUCGCAAGACGAUGUAUAGGAGCUGACGCCUGCCCGGUGCUGGAAGGUUAAGGGGAUCUGUUAGAGCAAUCGAAGCAGUGAACUUAAGCCCCAGUAAACGGCGGCCGUAACUAUAACGGUCCUAAGGUAGCGAAAUUCCUUGUCGGGUAAGUUCCGACCCGCACGAAAGGCGUAACGAUUUGGGCACUGUCUCAACAACAGACUCGGUGAAAUUGUAAUUCCGGUGAAGAUGCCGGAUACCUGCGACAGGACGGAAAGACCCCAUGGAGCUUUACUGUAGCUUGACAUUGGGUCUUGGUACUACAUGUACAGGAUAGGUGGGAGGCUUUGAAACCAGGACGCCAGUUUUGGCGGAGCCAUCCUUGGGAUACCACCCUUGUAGUACUGGGACUCUAACCAUAGGCCAUGAAUCUGGUCUUGGGACACUGUCAGGUGGGCAGUUUGACUGGGGCGGUCGCCUCCCAAAAGGUAACGGAGGCGCUCAAAGGUUCUCUCAGUACGGUCGGAAAUCGUACGUAGAGUGUAAAGGCAAAAGAGAGCUUGAUUGCAAGACAUACAGGUCGAGCAAGGAUGAAAAUCGGACUUAGUGAUCCGGUGGUUCUGCGUGGAAGGGCCAUCGCUCAACGGAUAAAAGCUACCCUGGGGAUAACAGGCUUAUCUCCCCCAAGAGUCCACAUCGACGGGGAGGUUUGGCACCUCGAUGUCGGCUCAUCACAUCCUGGGGCUGUAGUAGGUCCCAAGGGUUGGGCUGUUCGCCCAUUAAAGUGGUACGCGAGCUGGGUUCAGAACGUCGUGAGACAGUUCGGUCCCUAUCCGUCGCAGGCGUAGGAAAUUUGAGAAGACCUGUCCUUAGUACGAGAGGACCGGGAUGGACGUACCUCUGGUGUACCAGUUGUCCUGCCAAGGGCAUGGCUGGGUAGCUAUGUACGGAAUGGAUAAGCGCUGAAAGCAUCUAAGCGCGAAGCCAACUUCAAGAUAAGAUUUCCCACCGCAAGGGUAAGACCCCAGAAAGACUAUCUGGUUGAUAGGUCGAAGGUGUAAGUGCAG
rnacentral:rRNA from 1 species